CGCUAGCUACAGGCUUAACACAUGCAAGUCGAGGGGCAUCAGGAAGAAAGCUUGCUUUCUUUGCUGGCGACCGGCGCACGGGUGAGUAACACGUAUCCAACCUGCCCUUUACUCGGGGAUAGCCUUUCGAAAGAAAGAUUAAUACCCGAUGGCAUAAUGAUUCCGCAUGGUUUCAUUAUUAAAGGAUUCCGGUAAAGGAUGGGGAUGCGUUCCAUUAGGUUGUUGGUGAGGUAACGGCUCACCAAGCCUUCGAUGGAUAGGGGUUCUGAGAGGAAGGUCCCCCACAUUGGAACUGAGACACGGUCCAAACUCCUACGGGAGGCAGCAGUGAGGAAUAUUGGUCAAUGGGCGCUAGCCUGAACCAGCCAAGUAGCGUGAAGGAUGAAGGCUCUAUGGGUCGUAAACUUCUUUUAUAUAAGAAUAAAGUGCAGUAUGUAUACUGUUUUGUAUGUAUUAUAUGAAUAAGGAUCGGCUAACUCCGUGCCAGCAGCCGCGGUAAUACGGAGGAUCCGAGCGUUAUCCGGAUUUAUUGGGUUUAAAGGGAGCGUAGGUGGACUGGUAAGUCAGUUGUGAAAGUUUGCGGCUCAACCGUAAAAUUGCAGUUGAUACUGCCAGUCUUGAGUACAGUAGAGGUGGGCGGAAUUCGUGGUGUAGCGGUGAAAUGCUUAGAUAUCACGAAGAACUCCGAUUGCGAAGGCAGCUCACUGGACUGCAACUGACACUGAUGCUCGAAAGUGUGGGUAUCAAACAGGAUUAGAUACCCUGGUAGUCCACACAGUAAACGAUGAAUACUCGCUGUUUGCGAUAUACAGUAAGCGGCCAAGCGAAAGCAUUAAGUAUUCCACCUGGGGAGUACGCCGGCAACGGUGAAACUCAAAGGAAUUGACGGGGGCCCGCACAAGCGGAGGAACAUGUGGUUUAAUUCGAUGAUACGCGAGGAACCUUACCCGGGCUUAAAUUGCAGUGGAAUGAUGUGGAAACAUGUCAGUGAGCAAUCACCGCUGUGAAGGUGCUGCAUGGUUGUCGUCAGCUCGUGCCGUGAGGUGUCGGCUUAAGUGCCAUAACGAGCGCAACCCUUAUCUUUAGUUACUAACAGGUCAUGCUGAGGACUCUAGAGAGACUGCCGUCGUAAGAUGUGAGGAAGGUGGGGAUGACGUCAAAUCAGCACGGCCCUUACGUCCGGGGCUACACACGUGUUACAAUGGGGGGUACAGAAGGCAGCUAGCGGGUGACCGUAUGCUAAUCCCAAAAUCCUCUCUCAGUUCGGAUCGAAGUCUGCAACCCGACUUCGUGAAGCUGGAUUCGCUAGUAAUCGCGCAUCAGCCACGGCGCGGUGAAUACGUUCCCGGGCCUUGUACACACCGCCCGUCAAGCCAUGGGAGCCGGGGGUACCUGAAGUACGUAACCGCAAGGAUCGUCCUAGGGUAAAACUGGUGACUGGGGC
rnacentral:rRNA from 1 species